rnacentral:rRNA from 1 species
GACGAAGGGGGCUAGCGUUGUUCGGAAUUACUGGGCGUAAAGGGCGCGUAGGCGGUGCUCUAAGUUAGAUGUGAAAACUCUGGGCUCAACCCAGAGCCUGCAUCUAAAACUGGAGUGCUAGAGUUCUGGAGGGGGUAGCGGAAUUCCUGGUGUAGCGGUGAAAUGCGUAGAUAUCAGGAAGAACACCCGUGGCGAAGGCGGCUCUCUGGAACGCAACUGACGCUGAGACGCGAAAGCGUGGGGAGCAAACAGG